rnacentral:rRNA from 1 species
GUGUCAGCAGCCGCGCGGUAAUACGAAGGGACCUAGCGUUGUUCGGAAUUAUUGGGCUUAAAGAGUUCGUAGGUGGUUGAACAAGUUGGUGGUGAAAUCCCAGAGCUUAACUCUGGAAUGGCCAUCGAUACUUUUGUGACUAAGUUUGAUAGAGGAAGAGUGGUUUCUAGUGUGUAGGUGAAAUUCGUAGAUAUUAGAAAAAAAACCAAUUGCGAAGGCGGCUUUCUGGAUCAAUACUGACACUGAGGAACGAAAGCAUGGGUAGCGAAGAGGAUUAGAUACCCUCGUAGUCCAUGCCGUAAACGAUGUGUGUUAAACGUUGGAAAUUUAUUUUCAGUGUUCUGCGAAAGCGAUAAACACACCGCCUGGGGAGUACGACCGUACGGUUAAAACUCUAAUGAAUUGACGGGGACCCGCACCAGUAGUGGAGCAUGUGAUUUAAUUCCAAGAUUCGCGCAUAACCUUACCAACUUUUGACAUGUUCAUCGAGACUUUAAAAGAUUAAAGAUUUCAGGUCGGCCGGACGAAACACCAGUGCUGCCUGGCUGUCCUCAGCUCGUGGCCUGAGAUGUUGGGGUAAGUCCCCCCACCAGCGCAACCCUCUGUUUUAUGUGGCAUCAUUUAAAUGUUCACUCUGAAAGAGAUGCUGCUGAUGAUCUGGAGGAAGGUGGUGGAUGACGACGUCUCCUCAUGGUGCUUCUUAGGUCCAGCUACUGCCCUGCUGCUAUGGUGUCUAGUACAACGAGUUGGACGGUGACGAGGUGCAGCUCCUCUAAUAGAUACCUGACUUCGGAUUGAUCUCAGUCUGUCGAGUGAAUGAAUCUGGAUGUACUAGCAAUCAAUGGAUCAAUGUGCCACGUUGAGUGAAUACGUGCUCGGGCUCACACCGCCCGUCCAUCCAUACG